CACGUAGGGUGCGAGCGUUGUCCGGAAUUAUUGGGCGUAAAGAGCUCGUAGGCGGUGUGUCGCGUCGGCCGUGAAAACUCGGGGCUUAACCCCGGGCCUGCAGUGGGUACGGGCAGACUAGAGUGCGGUAGGGGAGACUGGAAUUCCUGGUGUAGCGGUGAAAUGCGCAGAUAUCAGGAGGAACACCGGUGGCGAAGGCGGGUCUCUGGGCAGUAACUGACGCUGAGGAGCGAAAGCGUGGGGAGCGAACAGG
rnacentral:rRNA from 1 species